rnacentral:misc_RNA from 1 species
GUCACUUCGAUAGCGAUGGAGAUGGCAAGAUUUCAAGCGAGGAACUUGGUGCUUAUUUCACAUCCGUAGGAGAGUCCAUGUCACCUGAAAACGUUCAAAGAGUCAUCAAAGAUUUCGACACUGAUGGCGACAACUUGCUGGAAUUUAAUGACUUCGCUCGAUUGGUUGAAGGAGACAACUGCAUUGAUGAUGAUCUUAGAAGGGCUUUCGAGGUGUUUGAAGGAGACGAUAAGGGUGGUGGGUGCAUUACAGCAAGAGGGUUACAAGGGGCAUUUAAUCGUUUAGGAGAAGCAAAGUCUCUUGAAGAAUGUGUAGCUAUGAUUAGAGUAUUUGAUCUCGAUGGCAAUGGCGUACUUGAUUUUCAUGAAUUCCACAAAAUGAUGACUUGAUUUAGUUCUGCUGUAGUUUGUGCUAGAAAUAUCAAGAUUUUUAGACCAUUUUCUGCCUGGUAGAUUUUUGUUAAUUACUCUCCUAUUGCAUCUUUA